CUUGUUCUGGCUGCGGGGAGACGUGCCGGCACCGUCGGCUCCCGAGUCCUUGCCGGCGAUCUCAGGGAUGGGGGAGUCCUCCACGGGGGAGAUGAUGUUUUCCUAGCAGAGGGAGCAUGAGGGAAAGGGCCUGCAGGAGACGCUGCGUCAGGGGACCGAAGGGACACCCGUCCUCUGGCUGCUCAUGCUGGGCCUCCGACUUCUUCAAGAGGGCAUCGACAUCUGGGAGGAAGUGGAAGAGGAAGAUAAACAACCCCAAAGGUGACCCAACAGAGCAGGUCCUCCUGUGCCCAGCGCUGGGAAUAAUGCUUCCCCAGUGGUGGGAUCUGUGAGAGCAGGGCUCAGCAUAGCUCCUGGAGACUCUGCCUUGCCUCCCACCUCCCCAGCACUACGGCAGCAUCCCAGGUGGGAACACUUGCUGUGAGGUACUGGAGGGGAUGGGGAGAGAGGGCACAGGAUGGGCUCAGGAGCUUUUCACCUUGUAA